GCAUACGAAUGCUCAGCCCCUUGGCGCACAAGUCUCCAACGCCUGCCAACACCCCAACUCCCUCAACCAACAAUGCUGCAAGGGCGUAUGCAGCUCAGACCUCGAGGUUCCGAGAACUGAGGCCCGCAUAGGCCUCUAGUGUGGGGAACCCGGCGAGGGGAAAUGUUACUUGGGCGUUUCAGGGGGACAGGCGGGCUCGCCGAGGCACAGAGGAGACCCGGGCGGAGGCCCGCGUGCGCUGCCUGGUGCAACCAGAACUGCGCUCACCGCUUGCCAACGUCUUUCUUUCCUUCCUUACAGACGCAAACACUGAGCCUCGGGGGAAGCUCUGCAACCAGAGAAGCGCCCCAGUGGCCUUUCGGGGGGCUGCUGCAGCGGGACGCGCGGGCUCCCCAUCUUCCCGUCACCUACCUCCCACAGUGUGGCAGGCGCGACAGCUGCUGCCCACGGCCGCAAGGAUCCCAAGGAGCUGGCAAAGGCUGGCGGCCGGGCGCUCCAGGGUGCAGGGAGGGAGGAGAAUCCCCGGUACAAAGCGCAGGCGACAGAGAGCCAGGCCCGCAGCCGCAGUGGGGCGCCUGAAGACGUCGGAGCGCUGGAGCCGAGCACGGGCUGGAGUUGGGGCUGCUGCCGCUGGGGUUGGAGCUGGAGGCUGGAGGCUGGGACCAGGGCUGGGGCGGGACUGACGCACGGGGCGCACGCCCGGGCUCACGUGGCCGUCCCCGGGUGGCCAUCACCUCCAUGCAGCCGCCGUGUUGUCUUCUGGCUCCCCCGCCUGUUGAACGCUUCCUAGACACCUGGGUCUAACGUUAGAUUUCAUGCUGUGUGUCUGGUGGCGCAUACCCUUAACCCCAGCACUUGGAAGACAGACUGCGGGCGGAUUUCUGAGUUCAAGGCCAGCCUGGUCGUCUACACAGCUUGUCUGGCCUGGGCUUUCAGAUUAAAGACCUGAAGACCUGAACCACCUUGAAGUUGUACCAGCAAAAACACCAGAAACAUCCUCUACACUUUGUACUUCCAGAACCAUGAGCCAAAAAUCCACCUUUUAAAAAUUACUUAUUUUAUGUGUAUGGGCGCUUUGUCUGCAUGUCUGUCUAAGAGUGUCUGGUUGUCCAGAACUGGGAUUACAGUUGUGAGUUGCCAUGUGUGUGCUGGGAAUUAAAACCAGGCCUUCUUGAAGCACAGCCAGUGUGCUUAAGUCUCAGCCAGUGGUUCUCAACCUGUGGGUCCCAAUCCUUAUGUCUGGGUCAAAUGCCCCUUUCAUGGACUGACUGUGUGCUGUAAGCUGAAAUAAACCCUUUCCUCCUCAG